GUCGUAACAAGGUAGCCGUACCGGAAGGUGCGGCUGGAUCACCUCCUUUCUAAGGAGCAUCUGAGUUCUUCGGAACUCCAGAGCCCGUACCUCACCGAAUGUGUGGGGCGGGAAGCUCAUGGGUGGAACAUUUGAUAAGGCACUCCGGUUGCGGGGUGAUGCUGAGUACGCCGGGUUUUCCUGGUUGGAAAGGGGUCGUCUUGUGGUUGGGGUGCGUGCACGUUGUUGGGUCCUGAAGGCUCAGCCGUUUUGGUUGCAGCUUUCUUCACCCCUUGCUGAGACAUGGUCUGUGAUCGUGUGGAGGUUUGGGUGUGAUCGUACUUUGAGAACUACACAGUGGACGCGAGCAUCUUAAAGCGAACACAAGAGAUUUUUCUUCUCUCUUGUGACUCAUGUGAUUUCAAGUCUUUAAGAGCAAACGGUGGAUGCCUUGGC
rnacentral:misc_RNA from 1 species